rnacentral:rRNA from 1 species
AUACGUAGGUGGCAAGCGUUGUCCGGAUUUACUGGGUGCAAAGGGCGUGUAGGCGGAGAUGCAAGUCAGGAGUGAAAUCUAGGGGCUCAACCCCUAAACUGCUUUUGAAACUGUAUCCCUUGAGUAUCGGAGAGGCAGGCUGAAUUCCUAGUGUAGCGGUGAAAUGCGUAGAUAUUAGGAGGAACACCAGUGGCGAAGGCGGCCUGCUGGACGACAACUGACGCUGAGGCGCGAAAGCGUGGGGAGCAAACAGGAUUAGAUACCCUGGUAGUCCACGCUGUAAACGAUGAAUACUAGGUGUGGGGGGACUGACCCCCUCCGUGCCGCAGUUAACACAAUAAGUAUUCCACCUGGGGAGUACGAUCGCAAGAUUGAAACUCAAAUGAAUUGGCGGGG